rnacentral:misc_RNA from 1 species
AGGCUUCUUUUCAAAGGGAAUUUCAGCAUUGUAAUCAAUACCUCUCCUUUUUCUCUUCCUUUGACGGACAUCUAUUCCAGCAGCCUUCAGUUCUCUCCUCUUCUGUAAAGAAGCAAGCCUCCGCGCCUCUUCAAGCUGCUUUUCUCUGGCUUUCCUUUUAGCCUUCUUGCCUCUUGUGUUGGCCAACCUAGCCCGUGCUUCAGAAAGCAUUUCUUUCUCGUCCUCAUCCAUAUCAACAGGAUCAGGA